UGGAGAGUUUGAUCCUGGCUCAGGACGAACGCUGGCGGCGUGCCUAAUACAUGCAAGUCGAGCGGAUUGAUGGGAGCUUGCUCCCUGAUAUCAGCGGCGGACGGGUGAGUAACACGUGGGUAACCUGCCUGUAAGACUGGGAUAACUCCGGGAAACCGGGGCUAAUACCGGAUAACUCAUUUCCUCGCAUGAGGAAAUGUUGAAAGGUGGCUUUUAGCUACCACUUACAGAUGGACCCGCGGCGCAUUAGCUAGUUGGUGAGGUAACGGCUCACCAAGGCGACGAUGCGUAGCCGACCUGAGAGGGUGAUCGGCCACACUGGGACUGAGACACGGCCCAGACUCCUACGGGAGGCAGCAGUAGGGAAUCUUCCGCAAUGGACGAAAGUCUGACGGAGCAACGCCGCGUGAGUGAUGAAGGUUUUCGGAUCGUAAAGCUCUGUUGUUAGGGAAGAACAAGUGCCGUUCGAAUAGGGCGGCACCUUGACGGUACCUAACCAAGAAAGCCACGGCUAACUACGUGCCAGCAGCCGCGGUA
rnacentral:rRNA from 1 species